UACGGAGGGUGCCAGCGUUAUUCGGAAUUACUGGGUGUAAAGCGCGUGUAGGCGGUCUGGUAAGUCAGAUGUGAAAUCUCCGGGCUCAACCCGGAAAGUGCAUUUGAAACUGUCAGACUUGAGUCCGGGAGAGGGAGGUGGAAUUCCCAGUGUAGAGGUGAAAUUCGUAGAUAUUGGGAGGAACACCGGUGGCGAAGGCGACCUUCUGGACCGAGACUGACGCUGAGACGCGAAAGCGUGGGGAGCAAACAGG
rnacentral:rRNA from 1 species